UACGGAGGGUGCGAGCGUUGUCCGGAUUUAUUGGGUUUAAAGGGUGCGUAGGCGGCCUUUUAAGUCUGGGGUGAAAGCCCGUUGCUUAACAACGGAACUGCCCUGGAUACUGGAAGGCUUGAGUACAGACGAGGUUGGCGGAAUGGACUGAGUAGCGGUGAAAUGCAUAGAUACAGUCCAGAACCCCGAUUGCGAAGGCAGCUGACUAGGCUGUUACUGACGCUGAGGCACGACAGCGUGGGGAGCGAACAG
rnacentral:rRNA from 1 species